GUCAGGCGGUUUGUUGCACUGUUUAUCUUGGUAAGGUAGGUAACUUAACGCGAUAAGUUUGUAUUAAGAUGGAUUCAGAUUCUUCUUUGAUGAAACAUUGUGUUGUUUAUGAAAUUUGUGUUCGUUUACGGAUUAGUGUAACGAUAUAACUUAGUUACUACGUCUACACAACCGAAAGUGUGCUUUAACUAAUUCUGAUGUAAACCAGAUGUUUAUGUUGGUUAUUUUGGGAAUGUUAUUCACUUUGUACUGUAAGUUUUUGUUACUGGUGAAUGAGACAUGACAUGUGGACAUCUGAUCUGUGCGUGUUAAUGUGUUUUGAACAACAUAAAAGACUUUGGAUGGCGAUUUGAACGGAGGGUGGGGUCGUUAUUUCAUUGCUAGUCGGCUACCGUUAGCUUUUUCAAAAUUACAUAACUUAAACAUCCAUUAUGAUGAGCCUUGUGUUCUACAAAGGUGGGAUGAUUUAAUAGUGUUAGGCAAGACAAACAUAUGUCAGGAAAAGCAAUGUCUGGCCAUAUGCAGAGGUGUAAAAAGUACUUAAAUAUGUUACUUAAGUGAAAAUACAACUACUAAGUAAGUGUAAAUUUUACUGUAUUAAAAGUAAAAGUAUCUGGCCAGAAUCAUACUUAAGUAAAAGUAAAAAAGUACCACAUUAAUUGAGAAGUAAUUGUACUUGAGAAUUAAAAAGUGAAAGGAAGAAUGAAAACAAGAGAUUCUUGGUUAAACUUCUAAUCUCCUAAAAAAUGAAGUGAAUGAACCACAUACAAGGUUUUAUCUUGCUUUACAACUGUUUGUAUUUAAUUGUAUUUAAUUAUCAAACUAUACGAGUUGUAAAACCUUGAAUUUAACUUAAGCAGAAGCUGAUUUUAAAAAUUGUGAGUACCUAAAUGGUUUUUAUAUGCAAUAGUUCUAGUGUAUGUUUUAUGUUUGUUCUAAGAAUAGACAGAUAUGACCUCACUGAAAUUCCUAAAUUACAACAAUCCAAAACAACGUUUUGACGAAAUGAAUACACAAAUGCAAAGGUACAAUGGCGUUCUAUGCUUUUGGCAUGUGUAAUGAUGUAAACAAUCAUUAGACUAUCACCCUCAGGCUUAACAACGCAAGGACAUUAGAAUUCUGUAUUAGCAAUUAGAAUAUAAAUCCUAACAUUGUCAUCAUAAUUCGCGCUAAGAUCCAGUGUCUUCCCCACCUUAAUUUUUGGCUAGGAGCCGCUACUAUUACGCAUCGGUCUACAGUGAAAGACUCGUUGUCAGUUUGAUGAUCAUAAAGGUCACUGUCAACUUAAGCAUUGCCACUUAUCUAUCUAAUCUUGUCGAUUUCUGUUACAGGCUUGUGUUUCUUCCGUUUUCGGGUUUUUAGUUCCAGGACUGCAUUUACUUUUUGUUGUUAACACAUUUCCAGCCAUGGGCAGGUUAAUGGCAGAAUUGGUCCACAAAAUGGAGAAAGGAGGAAGAAAGCUGAUUAAGUGGUUGCAGAAAAAAAGGCUACUUGCACCAAAGAUGAAGUGCCCUGCUUGUAAGCACCACAUGAAAAUGGCAAAAUCAGGCCCUACAAGACUUGGUUAUAGGUGGAGGUGUCGAAGAAGCUGCCACGGGGACAUUUCAAGAACCAUAAAGAAGAGUUCAGUUUUUGAAGGUUCACACAUGGAUCUGUCAACCUGGCUCAAGAUUAUGCACAAUUUUGCUCAAGGUCUCAGAAAAAGACAUGUGGACAUGAUUGAGGAAGGGGUUAUUGGAAGCAGUGCAUCAAUCACUAAAGUGUAUGAUACACUUCGCCACUGCUGCGUUACUGCCAUUCAACGACUUAAGA